rnacentral:rRNA from 1 species
GACGAACGCUGGCGGCGUGCUUAACACAUGCAAGUCGAACGGAAAGGCCCUGCUUUUGUGGGGUGCUCGAGUGGCGAACGGGUGAGUAACACGUGAGUAACCUGCCCUUGACUUUGGGAUAACUUCAGGAAACUGGGGCUAAUACCGGAUAGGAGCUCCUGCUGCAUGGUGGUGGUUGGAAAGUUUCGGCGGUUGGGGAUGGACUCGCGGCUUAUCAGCUUGUUGGUGGGGUAGUGGCUUACCAAGGCUUUGACGGGUAGCCGGCCUGAGAGGGUGACCGGCCACAUUGGGACUGAGAUACGGCCCAGACUCCUACGGGAGGCAGCAGUGGGGAAUAGUGCACAAUGGGCGGAAGCCGGAUGCAGCAACGCCGCGUGCGGGAUGACGGCCUGCGGGGUGUAAACCGCGUUCGCCUGGGACGAAGCGUGAGUGACGGUAAUGGGUAAAGAAGCACCGGCUAACUACGUG